AAUGAGCCUGCCUCAGGGCGGCACAGACGGGGGGAACUCCGCCGUUAAUUAAGAGGACAGCUUUGAUUGACAACCGGCUGAGCAGGUGUGCCGAAACCCAUCGCUUAUGGUAGGUAGAGCGUCGUUUUCUUUUUGGAAAGGAUUCAACCAACAGCGUUCAGUAGAGCAGUUGGGAAAGAUUAUAUUUGGACGCACAUUUGAAUUAAAUGCUUCAACUGCAGACUGCGAUAGAAAUAAAUGGAAUGUCGCAGUUUCAUAAAUGAUACACCUUGUCUCUAUGACUAUGAAAUUCAGCGACUCCCCACUUUCAUAAAUAUGAAAACAUUGAAAUAUGAAUGUACUGCGUUCAUAUCAAAUAGUAAUCAGCUUUAAAUGAGAACCAUACUACAAUCACGGCAAUUUUGUCAUAUAUUUUUUUAUUGCUUAUUUUUCAUUGGCAUAUAGUACCCACAUUGUAAUAACACAAAACUCAAAAAUCAGCAUAGUCCUUUAAGAAAAUAGCCACCAGGGGUCGUGGUUACACUGAUUUUACACAGGGCUUCGUGCGUAACAGCGCCCCCUAGCGGUUCUAUACGUUUCAGAGAAUCUUACCCCUCUCUCGGACGCAGCCAUCCACACCCACCAGUGGCUGGAGGGAGCUCCACACAUCCACACACACCUCGCUACCCAUGUCCCUUCAUUGGGAGGUUGAAGUGCAUUGGAACUUCGUAACUCCUCUAAAUUGAGUGAUAAAAUAAAAUGUCAUAGAUUACUAUCUUGAAGACCGAAUUGAAUCUACCACGUUAAAACCAAGUGAAACAAUUCAGGGUUCAGGAGGUUUGGUCCUCAUUUAAGGUUCUUUCAUCAAGGAGUUGAUUGUUUCAUUUCCUUAAUUCAAUUAAAGAAGUCAUGUUUUUUAAUUAGUCUCUAAAACCCCCAAACCACAAGAGCCGUAGCUAAUAACGCCUCCCCCUAGAUGAAUUCCCGGCGCUAGCACGACGUGCUUUAAAGACCUGUGGCGUGCCAAUGUUUUGCUCUGAGGAUACGUCCAACUCGACUCCUCUCCUUUUUAUACCCUGGCCGUCCUCUGCCAACACAAACCAUGGCUGCGUUCCAGAACGUUCUCCUUGAUCCCUCCUGCUGUGGGCACCAGCAGUAUCACGACUGAGCACUGGGAGACUGGGAACCGGCUCGGAACAGCCGAGCUGCCUCAGAGACAUUAGUCAUCAACCAACUGUCGAUCAUCUGACCCACCAGAACCUUCCUACUCUGUAGCCAAGCACCGUUGUUGCAUGACGGCGCGCGGCGUAUAAUCGCUAAAACAUUUCCUGUUCGGAGACACCGAUGUACCCUCGGGACCCAUGACGAUUUGUGGACGAAAGCAGAGCUUUGGGUCGAGGAUUCGACAACGAGAACAGUGUGCACAACGGAGAUCGAGGAAAAGAUCUGGAGAUCGAGCAGGAAGCGAGAUGUGAAAUCGUGUUAGACAGACUAUUUUAUUGGAAUGCGGCCCAUACAACUAUAAACUAUAAAUAUAAAUGGAACACGCGCGGCGGCCUGUGAAGACGGGGUCGUUGAAGAGGCAGGCAUCCUUCACAUCGCCAAACCUCCAGAACACAGUUGUGAAGGCAGCUCUCACACCGGGGAACAGGGGAGAGAGACCCUAAAACGACGUGCAAUAGUAGGACAGAGUGGGUGAGGGUUCUACAUAAUCCAUCAGGAGAAAGAGGGCAGUGAGUCUGAAUUACCCUUGUUCUGUAAGAGGAAAAUCAAUCAAUACAGCUAGAUCCAUAAUUCCUGUGUGGGUUUUCAGCUAGAUAAUAAUAAUGUUACAGGAUGCUGCGUUGUAAGAGCUUUUUGGUGGGUUUUGUGUUUGGGCUCUUUUGGUGUUUUAAGUUUGACUUCUUUGCUGAAUGUUUUUAUUAUAUCUAAAUCCAACUUUUUCCUAUUUUUCAAACCCCAACCUUGAAUAAGAAAGUGUAUGCUUUGGUAUAAAGGGCCCUUCAUCUUCAGACUUUGUGACUUCAGACAUUUAAUUCCUCAUAGUGCCACCCUGUCUCUCUCUACCAUUCGCCCUCCUGAAUUAUUCGGUACGGUUCUGUGGCUCAUUAGACACACAUUCACCUCAUCCCUCUUUAAAUCUGCAUGAAAGUCUUAACAGAUUUAACUUUGUGCGAGGAAGAUAAGUUGGCCUGUGUGACACUAAAUAUGACAGUUAUAAGACAUUAAAGGAACAAUCAACCCUAAAUAUGAAUGCUAAAUAUUAAGGAUAUAAUGAGUUUAAAUUUGGAAGUUUAUUUUCCCCUCCAUCAGACGAUUGUAAAAGACAAUGUAUUACUCACUUGCAAACAAUGUCACGUCACAAAAAUAAACACAAAACAAACCCAGUACAAUAUAAUUUUUUCGUGUAUCAUAAUAUAAAAAAAUAAUAAUCUUGAAACAAAUCUUCAGCUUGCGCGUGAAUGGAAUUACGUGGAGAAUCAUAACAGGCCAGGGUCACAACAUUUUGGAGACUCAAUCGUUGCACGUAUCUGAUGGAGGAGAAACUGAUUCUUAAGCCAAGAUGGGUGAAAUAGAGAGAGUGGCAAAAACAACCCACACGGUGUAAAGGUCAUCAAUAUCAUUGUUUUAUUGGCUCUAAACCAAGCAUCUCAUGGAACACUUGUCUGUAGCACGACCGCAACACCUUCAUCACGUCGUUAGACUCUACACCACAUCCCUGCUAUUAACACCAGGUUUCAUUUAUAUUUCAGGUAUUUUUUUAUAUGUAUAUAUGCAUAUAUAUAUAUGUUUAUAUGCAUAUAUAUAUGUAUAUAUACAUAUAUAUAUUUAUAGUACAAUAUACAUGUUUUCAUCAAAGGUAAAAUUGCAAAAAAGUGAGCUCCUGGAUUCCUACUCUUUAGUAUUGCAUGCAUGUGUUGAGUGCGUUGAGAUGUGUUGGACGACGGGGAACGGACGCGCAGGCAACGCGAUGCUCAGCGGCGUGGGUUCGUGGAGAGAUGUCACGUGGCGGGCGGACAACGCCGCAGUUUGAACGGGACACAGAAAGGAGCCAUGCUGCUCACCCAAACACAACCCGACACACAACUCAAACGCACACUCGCACUGCUCAUUCAGUGAGAAGCACAGCUUAACGGCGCAAAAUAGAUCUUCUUUAUUCACUUUUUUGUUAUUGUUUAAUGAGGAAUAACAAGGGCUAAUAUGGAAAGAAAUAAACGUACAGUUACUGAAGAGAGCUGAGUGCAAAUCAACACCAAAUCGUUUUGAAAUACUAGCGAUACUGCGUUUGACUGUUUGAGGCACAGCAAUAAGGUGGAGGGCCUUAGAGACUAAAGGUAGCUGGGUACCUCGCUGUGCAGACUGCAAGGGACGCAUCCACCCCGGAGGUCACUCAGGGUGAAGGAAUGGAGGGUUCAUUUAAAGCUAUGAUGGGUAGUAUAUGUGCACAAGAUAAAUAUACUGUCGUUAACUUUUUAAUAUAACUUUAAAAUAGCUAAUCUAUGCAUUUGUUUUUAAAUAAUCCAAAAAUAUCGUUAUUUUCUUAUAUAGGGCAUCUAGUUCACAUAUAUCUAUGUAUCUGUUAUCUUACUGUAUUUACCACACCAAGCAAUACAAUGUCAAUAUGGAAAUAGGCUAUUUCCAUGUUGUUUAUAUGAUAUUUUUUUGCUUUUUUAAAACAAAAUAUCUGAAAAUGUAAAAUAAACUGUAUAGUGCUAUGUAUGUAGGUAAGAAAAUAAAGUAGGUUCAUAUAAUUCAUCUUCUGUAACUAUUUACAGAUGUAUAACGGCCUCUUAGCUGCACACGUUCCCCCACCUAAUAAGUCAAUUGGCCUAAAAUACUUUGUUGAAGUCAUCGUACGUCUGCUACAAUCCAUCGUGUCCUUUGGCUGUCGUAUCAGUCAUCCAACCCGUUACAAUAAGCAUCAUUUACCAUCCAGACAAGCACCAUACAGAAUCAACACUUCAUGGACCCCAACUCAAACAAUUGUUAAAUGUUGAUUAUUUAGAAUUCAUAUUUGACCCAUAAUUAUUUAAUUAUUAUAGUAAGUUUGAAAUUUGUUUUUUUAGCGAGAAUUCUUUGGACCUUUUUAAAGUUUGGGCUCCAACUCUGGGAAUGUCGUUUGCGCUCUAUCACAACGGAAAUAAGCGCAUUUAAAUUUCGGAUAAUUUACAGUAGGUUAGAAGAACGUUUCAUCAUAUUUUUAGUUACAGGGAAGCUGAAUGGAAAACAACCAAUAAUCCGGCAUGGUUUUUAAACAGUAGUAAAAAGGUUAACAUCCUCUGCUACUUUUAACACGAUUUAGAACAAUAGCCUACCCUAAUUCAGCUCUACCGUUUUUUUUUUGUUGGCAUAGAAAGCAAGUGCUUCACAGACAAACAGACAAAAACAUACAUGCCCUUUUGCAUAAACGAGAAACGAGAAAAAAAGCCAGAGCUUUGUUUUGUUCCGGGAAUACAUUCGAUGAGAUUGGUGUCUUCUGCCAAGCGAGAGGGAAGGGGGGGAGUUAUCAGAGUAAACACUGUACAUUGUAGUUUUAAAAAAUAAAAAGCACAUAAUGGACUUCCAGGACUUAUUUACAUCUGUCUGAACGCACUUGAAAUAAGUUUAUGUUUCUCCAUCCCGUGACCCCCAUGUGUUGGUUACACACGAGAAGAGAGAAGAAGAGACAUCGAUCCCCUCGACGCGGUGAAGUGAGAGCCGCUACGUAAACUAGCGAUAUGGCCUCGGCGAGCGUCAUGCAUAAACUGUCCAGAGGGGGGAGCCCACGGGCCGGUGGUCCUCAAUGGAAAAAGUCCAGCUUGCGCGUCCGAUCUUUUUCCAAGCAUUCCGUGAUCGGCGUCUCUUUUCCGAAUCACAAAAUCGUAUGCACUUACACACACGCACUUACACACACGCACGCACACACGCACACGGAGUAGAAAAACACAGGUGAAGCACACAAUGUGUGUGUGUG